rnacentral:rRNA from 1 species
GACGAACGCUGGCGGCGUGCUUAAUACAUGCAAGUCGAACGAAAAGGCCCGGCGUUUGUUGGGUGCUCGUGUGGCGAACGGGUGAGUAACACGUGAGUAAACUGCCCUUAACUUUGGGGUAAAAUUAGGAAACUGGGGCUAAUACCGGGUAGGAUCUACUGCUGCAUGGUGGGGGUUGGAAAGUUUCGGCGGUUCGGGAUGGACUCGCGGGUUAUGCGCUUGUUUGUGGGGUAGGGGCUUACCAAGGCUUUGACGGGUAGCCGGCCUGGGAGGGUGAACGGCGACAUUGGGACUGCGAGAGGGACCAGACGCCUACGGGAGGCAGCAGGCGGGAAUAUUGCACAACGGGCGGAAGCGUGAGGCAGCAACGCCGCGUGCGGGAUGAUGGCCUUCGGGUUGUAAACCGCUUUCGCCUGUGACGAAGCGUGAGUGACGGUAAUGGGUAAAGAAGCACCGGCUAACUACGUG